AACGAACGCUGGCGGCAUGCCUAACACAUGCAAGUCGAACGAGACCUUCGGGUCUAGUGGCGCACGGGUGCGUAACGCGUGGGAACCUGCCCUUAGGUUCGGAAUAACUCCCCGAAAGGGGUGCUAAUACCGGAUAAUGUCUUCGGACCAAAGAUUUAUCGCCUUUGGAUGGGCCCGCGUUGGAUUAGCUAGUUGGUAGGGUAAAAGCCUACCAAGGCGACGAUCCAUAGCUGGUCUGAGAGGAUGAUCAGCCACACUGGGACUGAGACACGGCCCAGACUACUACGGGAGGCAGAAGUGGGGAAUAUUGGACAAAGGGCGAAAGCCUGAUCCAGCAAUGCCGCGUGAGUGAUGAAGGCCUUAGGGUUGUAAAGCUCUUUUACCCGGGAUGAUAAUGACAGUACCGGGAGAAUAAGCUCCGGCUAACUCCGUG
rnacentral:rRNA from 1 species